rnacentral:lncRNA from 1 species
UCUGCUCUCCAUGUCCCUGAUUUGUUUCUGUAGAUAGGAUCAUCUCUGCCAUAUUUUAAAUUCCACAUAUAAGUGAUAUAUAGUAUUUGUCUUUCUCUUUCUGACUUAGUAUGAGAACCUCUGGUUGUAUCCAUGUUGCUGCAAAUGGCAUUAUUUUGCCCUUUCUUAUGGCUGAGUAGUAUUCCAUUGUAUAUAUAUACCACAACUUCUUAAUCCAUUCAUCUGCUGAUGGACAUUUAGGUUGUUUCCAUGUCUUGGCUAUUGUGAAUAGCGCUUCAGUGAACAUAGGGAUCUAUAUCUAGGAGUGGGAUUGCUGCAUCCUGUGGGAGUUCUAUAUUUAGUUUCCUGAGGUACCUCCAUACUGUUUUCCAUAGUGGUUGUACCAGUUUACAUCCCCACCAACAGUGAAGGAGGAUACUCUUUUCUCCACAUCCGCUCGAGUAUUUGUAAUUUGUUGACUUGUUAAUGGUGGCCAUUCUGACCAGUGUGAGGUGAUACCUCAUUGUAGUUUUGAUUUGCAUUUCUCUAAUAAUUAGUAAUGUUGAGCAUUUUUUCAUGUGCCUAUUGGCCAUCCAUACAUGUUUAAUUUGAAAGUAGUUGUACAGUUUGCAUUCACACCUGCAGUGUGUAUAAAAGUUGUUUUUGUUCUACAUUGUUACCAGAACUUAGUAAUGAGUCUUUCCUAGCAAAAGUAUAGUGGUAUUAGUAUUUUAUUGUGAUUUGAAUAUUUAUUUUCUUAAUUUCAAAUAAGAUGGAUUUUCUUUUUUCCCAUUGAUGGGCUAUUUUUUUUUUGCUUUUUAGAACCACACCCACGGUAUAUGGAAAUUCUCAGGCCAGGGCUUGAAUUGGAGCUACAUCUGGCAGCCUGUGCCACAGCCACAGCAAUGCAGGAUCUGACCACGUCUGUGACUUCUCAGAUGACUGAGUUUACUUCUGGGCUGCUCCUGGAUCCUCAACUAUAAAUUGUUAUGUUGUUGUUAGGUCUCCAAGGCCUUCAAGCAAAUUGUUUAAUUUUAUUUUAAAAAUUUUAAUUUUGUUUGUAUUUUUGCCAUGCUCAUAGCAUGCAGAAGUUCCCCGGCCAGGGAUCAAACCCCAGGCCACAGCAGUGACAACUGGCUACACCAUCCUCAGAUCCUCAACCCACUACACCAUCAGGGAACUCCUUGAGCAAAAGGUUUUAAAGUUUUUGCUUUUAAUUAUUUUUUGUCAAGUUUUUUUAGUUAAUCUUAGUCUUGGUCUUACUUUCCCAUUCCUGGAAGUAGAAUAAUUCAUUCCUGUAUUGUAGUUUGACUUUUAUGAAUCUGAUAGAUUUGGGGAUGUACAUCUAAAGCUUUACGGGUUAAUGUACAUUAUGGAAAAAAAUCUUUGUAAGUGAAGUGUCAUUUGCCUUGCAAACAAUGAUUUUUUUUUCAUAAUUUGUUCUGUUUGACAUGGAACAGGUGCUAGCAUCUAAUGCAGUCCUGUCACAGGGAAUAGAAGGUCUAGGUCACCAUGUUUGUUAAUUAAGUCCAGGAAAUUUUAUCUCUCCUGUGGCUAAUCAUUUAUGUUUGACAUGAAUCUGUCAUUUGUGCCUCUGGUUACCCUGCUUCUCCCUUCGUUCUGUGUAGCUUAUUUUUCACAUAGCAGUCAUAAUUUUUAAUCAUAAUUCAAUUUAUGUUCUCUGCUCAGGAUACUCUAAGGGCUUCUCUUAUAAUUCAAAAUAUGAUCCAAAGCCCUUAAAACAGCCUAUAAUAUCCUACCUGAUAUAACUCCAUGCUGCUUGUUUAACUUCACCUGAUACCUUUCCCCCUCUGUUCCCUCUGCCCUAUCUCUAGAAGUUGCCUUGCUUUUCCUGGAACACUUCGUGGGCUUUGCCCUUUGUGUUUUCUGUUCUAGAAUGCUUCUUCCCUUGAUGUCUACACAGAUUGCUGUUUCCCCUCUGUUAGGUCUCUGCUCAGUUAUGGUUUCAGAAAGAAUCCUUCCCUGAACACAUUGCAGAUAAUUGCAGCAUAUCUCCUGUAACUUUUUAUCCCCCUUAAUUUACCCUGUUUUUCUUUUUAUUUAUUAAUAUGAUAAUUAAUAUAGUUAUUUGUUUAUUUUCUGUUAUCCUGUCCUAGAAAGUACAUUCCAUGAGAGCAGGGACAUGCCUAAAACAGUGCCUGGCACACAGUAGACCUUCAAUUAUUACUAUAUUUUUAAUGAAUGAAUAUGUAGCCACUACAUUAUUUUUAUUUCGCACUUUAAGACUGUUCUAAAUUGGUGAGCUAAAUAGCUAAGUUGAACGACAGCAAAACGUAGAAACUUGUACCAACAGAGAUAAGACUGAGACUUUUUUGACAUAGUAGCAGAGCAGCUGUAAGUCCUGAGCACAUCUGGCCAUGAUGAUAAUGUUAAAGAUAUCUCUUUAUGUGGGAACAGUGAUCACAGGGCCUUGUCUUUCUGAUUUUAUAAACCAGUAAAUCCCAAAUUAGCAGUGGGUCGUAGAGGAAAGCUACUCCUUCUGUAUCUUAAAUCUCUACAAGGAUUUAAAAGCGUUACCUUUACUUAUUUAUUUAAUGGCCACACGCACAGCAUAUGGAAGUUCCCAGGCCAGGGAUUGAAUCCAUGCCGCAGCUGCAACCUACACGGAAGCAGAUACCUACGGAAACCCUGGAUCCUUUAACCCACUACCCUGGGCCUAGAGUUAAACACACAGCUCCACCACUACUCGAGCUGCUGCAGUUGGAUUCUUCACCCACUCCCAAUACAUUUAUUCUAAUUAAGCAUUUAUUGCUAAGAGAGCUUGUAUAAACACAUAUUUUAUUGAAUAAAAUAAUGUCUAAUGAGAAGUAGAAAAUUUGAAUUUGGCAUUUUUACAUAUCCAGUAUUUUGAUUGUUAAUAAAUGGAUGUGGAAAUGGACUUGUAAAAGGUUUAAUACAUUUAAUAUUUUAAACAGUGUUUUCAAAGUUAUUAGAGGGUAGUUUUGUAACUCUGUGUGCCUAUACCUUAACUCCUUUCCCUUUCACCAACAACAAAUCUCAGAAUAUGGUGUGGAAUAUAAGUUAUAUUUUUAUAAAUUACACAAGUAUUGUUUUUGCUUUUUAGGGUUGUACCCACAGCAUAUGGAAGUUCACAGGCUAGGAGUUGAAUUGGAGCUACAGCUGCCAGCUUAUGCCAUAGCCACAGUAACACAGGUUCUGAGUCGCAUCUGUGACCUACACCACAGCUCACAGCAAAACCGGAUCCUUAACCUACUGACUAAAGCCAGGGAUUGAACCUACAUCCUCAUGGAUCCUAGUUGGGUUCGUUAACCACUGAGCCACGAAAGGAACUCCCACAAGUAUUUUUUUUUUUUUUUGAGUUCUUCUUUAGACACAUCUGUUUAAGUACAACUGGUUUAAAACAGGACUGUAAUUAUUGCAGGGUUAGAGCUAAGUCUAUAUCAUGGGUACAACAGCUGCCUGUUUACUGAGUGUUUAGUACUAUGUGCCAUUGCUUAAAAUAUAUUAUCUGAUUUACUUUUCACAGUAACCUGUGAAACAAGAUACCAUAUAUUAUCUCCAUUCUAUAAAUGAAGAAACUUAGCAAGAUCAUAUGGCGAGUAAGUAAUUGAGCUGAGAUUUGAACACAGGUCUGUUUGACUCCAUUGUAAUAAAGCAUUCAAUGAAUAACUCCUGAUUUAGAGACAAAAUUAUUUCAGCAAUUGAUGUUCUAUGUAAAAUGGAAAAAAAGUCAGAAAUGAAUAUUGAUAUGUGGAAAACAUACGGUUGCCGAGCAAAUGUCUAUAUCAGUUUUACUUAUUGAGGACAAUCAAGCAUCAAAUUUUGCAUUAGAAUAUAAAACUUAAAGAUUCUGAACAAAUUAUAGUUCUUAUAUUUUGGGCAAAUACAAUUUUAUGUUUCUGUUAAAAUGUGCACUCUUUUUUUAUUGAAGUAUAGUUGAUUUACAAUAUUAUGUUAGUUUCAGGUGUACAGCUUAGUGAUUCAGUAUUUUUGUUAUGAUUAUUAUUAUUUUGUCUUUUUCUAGGGCCGCACCUGCAGCAUAUGGAGGUUCACAGGCUAGGGGUCUAAUUGGAGCUGUAGCCACAGGCCUACGCCAGAGCCACAGUAACAACGUGGGAUCUGAGUCAUGUCUGCAACCUACAUCACAGCUCACAGCAACGCUGGAUCCUUAACCCACUGAGCGAGGCCAGGGAUUGAACCCACAACCGCAUGGUUCUAGUCGGAUUCGUUAACCACUGAGCCAUGACAGGAACUCCUAGUCCACUAUAGGUCAUGACAAGAUAAUGGGUAUAAUCCCCUGUACUAUACAGUAAAUCCUUGUUGCUUAUCUAUUUUAUAUAUAGUAGUUUAUAUCUGUUAAUCUCAUAUCCCUAAUUUAUCCCACCUUACUUUGCUCUCCCCUUUGGUAACCAGCAGUUUGUUUCUGUAUCUGUGAGUCUUUCUGUUUUGCAGAUAUAUUCAUUUGUAUUGUUUUUUAGAUUUCCAUAUAUAAGUGGUAUCAUACAGCAUUUGUCUUUCUCUGACUUACUUCACUGAGGAUAAUAUUCUCUAUCCAGUUUGCUACAAAUCAGAGUAUUUCAUUCUUUUUUAUUCCUGAGUAGUACUCCUAAAAUGUAUUCUUAAUAAAGUAUGAACAUUUGUUCAAAGCCUAUUAUUAUGAAGUUCUGUGAUAGGUGCUGACUGUAAAAAACUCUUGUUAAGGCUCCUGUGGACAGACUUACAGUGAUGUGAGGGAGAAAGACUUGGAAACAAUGAGUUUAGCACCUUAGGUGCCUACAUAUUAGAAGCUUAUAAAUGGUGAUGAAUAUUGAAGGCUUAUUCACUAUGCAGUGUGAGCAUACAGUAUGUGGUAUUGAAUUUAUAUAGAUUAAUAGGGAAAUAUCCACAGUGAAAUACGUAUUUGAAUUAGGCCUUAAAAAAUGAUUAAAAUAACAGUGGAUAGUCUGAGUAAAGGGAAGUGUAUAUACAAUGACUACAUUCAGUAAGAUUAAAACCUAAAUAUAUUGCCCUGAAAGGUACUUUAUUUACCUCCUUUGUAGCUUUAAAAAAAAAAAAAGGCAUUUCAUUUAUAGCAUGGGUAGACUAUUCCAGUAAUGUUGUAUCAUGACCUUCAAGGGGAUCAUUGACAGAAUCAGGGCUUCUUAUUUGUAUUUUUUAAUCUUUGAGCAGUGGAAAUACAUAACCUAGCUGUACCGUAUAAAAUGUAGUAGAUCAACCAGGGUACUAUUUAAUCCUUAAAAGAGAGGAUUUGCCAAAUAUAUUGCCCUAAAAGAGUUAUUUCAUAAAACUACGAACUUUAUUUCCAAGCAGUCAUUUAGAAGCUUCAGGUAUCUAGUGAGCAUGAUCCAUUCUUAAGACUUUAAGGCAGUUCAGGAUGGAGUAGUGAUGAAGCAGGGAUUGGAGGCGGUAAAGUACAUGAUGAGAUACCUCAUACACGGGAUACCCAUAAAUGGUAAUGAACUAUAGAGGUCAGUUCCAAGUGCCAAUGGAGAGCAAAUAGCAAGUUGUUUUCUGUCUGUCUGCUUCUCUCCCUAGACCCUUGAUCCCAUCUUUUGCCUAUCUAGUAGAUGAAAUUAGAAACAGAGCUGUGGAUGAGACUGUAAUAUUUAGAUUAUAUGUGUUUAAAAAUUUUUAUGACUUUUCUUGUUGGUUAUUGUUGGAGGACAAACUGUGUUUUUAAAAAUGUAAAUUUAUUCUGAAAAUUUAGCUCAAAUUUACUUAGUAAUAUUUUACACUUUUUCUGGCAUUGGCAAUGAGCUUAUAGAUUUACUGUGUAUUGACUCUUAGAUAGUAACAUAGCAUCCUAAUAUCAGAUCCUGCAUCAAAAUUUGAGGCAGACAAUGUCCUUGCUCUUCUUAAUUAUAAUAGAUAAGGCUGGAAAGCCAGGAACACAAGUGAAGGUGGAUGAAUCUCUGAGGUGUGAGGUAAUAGAUCUGAAUUCUUGAACCACUCUUCUGAUGACAUCAGAUACACAGAUUUUUGUUUUUCGAAGGAAAAGCCUAAAGAUGUCUGCUGUCUGUGAAAAUGCAUGAUAAUAAUGAAUAAGUUGACCUCUUCAUACCAGAAGAUGCUUUGACUUAUUUUUUAAGCCUCUAAUUUUCGUUGUCCUCAGAGCCUUGGCAUGUAGAACUUUGAGGAAAGCCCAUGGCUUUAGUUAAGGCAACAUGCAUUCUUGUCACUUUUGUAUUGAAAUUAGGAAAAAUAAGCAGGGCAGUAUUUUAGGUUCUCUAUUCUGCUUCUUUCUUACGGGAAACAGUCUGCUUCAGUGCAUUUGUUCUCAUUUGCCAGUUGGAGGACCCGCUCUGUGGUGAAAAUAUCAGUGAGAGGUUGUCAACUAUGCCUUCUUCAGAAGGCUUGUUUCUUAUUUUGAGAUUGUCUUUCUUUUCCUUUUUUAUGUUAAUAUGCUUUUGUUUUAUAAAAUAAUACUAAUGGUAGACAGGGCUUUUAAAUAUGUAUCAUUUCUUAGAAAAUAAAAUGAUGCUAGCCACGAAGACCACCACUUGUGUGUGUGUGUGUGUGUGUGUGUGUGUGUGUGUGUGUGUGUGUGCAUCUUGUUUUGUCUUGUGAAAUCUGAAAGUCUGGAGAGUACUGAUGUAGUGGAUGGACCAUAGGCUUUGGAGUCAGCAGACCUGCUUUAAAUUUUUACUCUGCUGUGGUUCUUAUCUUUUUUAUUUCUAAAAGGUGAUGUGAAUGCCUGUUUCCUAUGGUUCUUGUGAGGAUUGACUGAGAUAAUGUAAAUAUAAAUAUAGUGCCAAGUGCAUAAUAGGAGAUGAAUAAAUUUCGUUUCUUGUCUUCUUUUUUAAGUAGUUAGGAGUAGAGGGAAUCUCAGGUAAGUUACCAGUUAAACUAAAUGGAAAUCCAAGAGGAAAAAUGAAGAAAGGAAAGGGCCUUGUCAGUCCACAGUUGGAUGACCCUCUUAGUAAAGGGAUAUGACAUAGUGCCUUGUACACAUUCGGGAUUUAAUAAAUAUUUUUUUUUUUUUUUUUUCCUUUUUAGAGCCACUCCUGCAGUGUAUGGAAGUUCCCAGGCUAGAGGUUGAAUCACAGCUGCAGCUGCUGGCCUAUGCCACAGCCACAGCAAUAUAGGAUCCAAGCUGUCUGUGAUCUACACCACAGCUCACUGCAACACCAGUUCCUUGACCCACUGAUCGAGGCCAGGGAUUGAACCCACAUUCUCAUGAAUCCUAGUUGGGUUCAUUCUCUUGAGCCACAAAGGGAACUCCCAAUAUGUAUUUGAUUUUAAAUUAUUUGAAAAUGUUGGGUAAGGGAGUUAAUAAAUGUUUGAAUCAUAAAACAAGAAAAAUAAAUCAAAUUUAGAGAAAAGUUGAAAGAUUUAAUUUUUCUUUUUUUAGGACCAUACCUGUGGCAUAUGGAGGUUCCCAGGCUAGAGGUGAAAUUGGAGCUGUAGCCUGUAGCCGCUGGCCACAGCCACAGACAGCAACACCAAAUCCAAGCCCCAUCUAUAACCUACACCAUAUUUCAUAGCAAUACUGAAUCCUUAACCCACUGAGCGAGGCCAGGAAUCAGACCUGCAUCCUCAUGGAUACUAGUCAAAUUCGUAUCUGCUGAGCCGCCAAGGAAACUCCUGAAAGAUUUAAAUAUAAAAGUUUGUUAUAAUAAAGUGAAUCAGGUAGUGAACAAAAUACUAUGGUGAUAACUCAUUUUUGCACUAAUAAGUCAUUUUGUGGAAUAUUAAAAGUACAUUUCCCCAAUCUCAUUAUUAUACUUAUAAUCAAUAUAUAGUUUAUAAUAAUUCAAAUAUGGUUUCUUUAUUGUUUAAAGUAUUUUUACACAUUAUGCCAUUGAUGUUUCUAACUAUGUACUAUGCAUAUUAAUAUUUUAUUAAGAUUAAUAGAUGAGAGAAAACUGAAGGCAAGAUGGUUAAGUGACUGCCAUGGUUAAUAAGUGAUAAUCAGAAUGAGAUGUUAAGAUAAUUGGUAUAGCGGUCUUUAAUUUUUGUUGCUAUUAUUUCUAAGACAACUUUAUUAGAACUUAGUGCAUUUUAAUUAUUUUACUUUUCUCUUUUGCCUUCUCUGAAACAUCUUAAUCCUUAUUCUUAUAAAUUCAAUGU